UACAGAGGGUGCAAGCGUUAUCCGGAUUCACUGGGUUUAAAGGGUGCGUAGGCGGAUAGGUAAGUCCGUGGUGAAAUCCUGCAGCUUAACUGCAGAACUGCCGUGGAUACUAUCUAUCUUGAAUGUCGUGGAGGUUAGCGGAAUAUGUCAUGUAGCGGUGAAAUGCUUAGAUAUGACAUAGAACACCCAUUGCGAAGGCAGCUAACUACGCGAUAAUUGACGCUGAUGCACGAAAGCGUGGGGAUCAAACAGG
rnacentral:rRNA from 1 species